rnacentral:RNase_P_RNA from 1 species
UGAGUGAGCUGAACAGCCGCAUAAAUUUUAUUUAUGAGGAAAGUCCGAGCACCACAGGGCGGGAUAACGGCUAACGGCCGCCGGGGGCGACCCCAGGGAAAGUGCAACAGAGAUAUACCGCCGCAUAUUUUGCGGUAAGGGUGGAAAGGCGAGGUAAGAGCUCACCGGCACAUAGGAGACUAUGUGGCCCUGCAAACCCUAUCCGGUGCAACGCCGACUGAAGCGAUACAUUUGCCCGAUGUGCUUCAACGGGCGGCUAGAGCUGCAUGGCAACAUGCAGUCGAGAUAGAUGGCUGUUCAUGACUUUAUAGUCAAGACAGAACUCGGCUUACAGGCUCACUCAUUAU